UGUUCUGUCGAAGAUUAAUUGGCCAUACAUUUGUGGGUCCAAUUCUGGGUUCUCUAUUCUAUUCCAUUGGUCUAGGUGUCUGUUUUUUGUGCCAAUACCAUACUGUCUUGAUGAUUAUAGCUUUGUAGUAAAGGCUAAAGUCUGGGAUUACGAUGCCUCCUGCUUUGUUUUUCUUUUUUACCAUUUCUUUGGCUAUGCAGGGUCUUUUGUGGUUUCAUACAAAUUUUAGGAUUGUUUGUUCUAGCUCUGCAAAGAAUGCUGGUGUUCUUUUGAUAAGGAUUGCAUUGAGUGUGUAGAUUGCUUUGGGUAGUACUGACAUUUUAACAAUAUUUGUUCUUCUAGUCCAUGAGCAUGGAAUGUUUUUUCAUUUCUUUGUGUUGUCUUCAAUUUCUUUCAUAAACUUCCUAUAGUUUUCAGCAUACAGAUCUUUUACGUCUUUGGUUAGGUUUAUUCCCAGGUAUUUUAUGCUUCUUGGUGCAAUUGUGAAUGGGAUCGAUUCUUUCUCUUUCUGUUGCUUCAUCCCUGGUGUAUAGAAAUGCAACCAUUUUCUAUACAUUGAUUUUAUAUCCUGCGACUUUGCUGAAUUUAUGUAUCAGUUCUAGCAGUUUUUUGGUGGAGCCUCUUGGGUUUUCCAUGUAGAGUAUCAUGUCAUCUGUGAAAAGUGAAAGUUUGACUUCUUUGCCAAUUUGAAUGCCUUUUAUUUCAUUUUGUUGUCUGAUUGCCGUAGCUAGGACUUCCAACUCUAUGUUAAACAACAGUGGUGAGGGUGGCCAACCCUGUUGUGUUCCUAAUUUCAGGGAGAAAGCUCUCAGUUUUUCCCCAUUGAAGAUGAUAUUAGUGUGGGCCUUUCAUAUAUGGCUAUUAGAAACAGUUCUGUGAAGCCAACAUGAUGUCACUUAAAUAUAAGAGCUGUGGAAAUAGGUAAUAGACAGGAAGGAGACACAGGCUACAUAUAUUUUAACUUAAAAUUUGUAGCUAUGUGUGCAUUAAUUUUUAGCAAUUUUAUUGAGAUCUACUUUUCAUAUAGUGAAACUUUCAGGUUUUAACUGCACAUGUUGGUAAGUUCUGACAAAUGUGGAAAGUCAGACAAGAUGCAUGACAAUGUCAUGGCUCCAGAAAGCCCCCUGCUUCCUUCCUGGUCAUUAUCCCGCCCAGAGGCCUCCACACCCCUAACCGCCUUCCUAAUGUGGCCACUUCUGGCUCCUGUCACAACUCUGGAUGUUUCUGUAUGGGGCUGAAGAGUCUGAGUGAGCACUUGUCUCGCAACUGGAUUCUUAGUCUCCAUUUUUAGUAUAAACCGCAUCCUUAAUUUGUCUUCCUAAGAUGUGUGGUUUCAGUGUUUUUCUAAAGUGGACUGAGAAAUCGAGUGUAUUUGUAAGGAGUCUAAGACCAGAAUUCUUCCAAAUAUUCAAAAAUUAUUUUCUGUUUAAUAGUUAUCUUGUCAAUACCUAAUUCAAGAUCAAUUUUUAAAAGAACUUCAACUUGCCUUUAUCUUGCUUUUCCAAGUCAAGUUUAUCCUGGUUUUCAUAGAAACCACUUUCUUUCAUUAGCACUAGCCGGAAGCUGGUUUCCAUAAUAAUAAACGAGCUCAGCAGUAGGGAGAGUGUGGACAAGCGGCAUAAACGUGCUUGGGUGCAAACCUAAGUGUUCUGGUGAAGCUCACAGUAGGAAGUGGUCUACUGCUUUUCACUGAAGUGAUGGGCCCACUGAGCCCGCAACCACGUGAGUGGCAGAGCAGAGACGGGUGUGUUACAGGUGCUUUACGUACACAUACAGACUGAUGAGAACACACAUGUACGUGCUGCACCCCAGAGGUAUCUACUGUCAGCAUUUUUCCAUAGUUUUCCGGGCUCUCAAGUGCUCUCAUGCACGUAGAGCUAACAUUAUUGCAGGGCUCGAGGGAACAGACUGCAAGUGGGGGAUGCCCCAGUAGGACUCUUAGAGCUCAGUGAGAGCUGAUGUACUCAGGGCCAUGGUUUAUUUUUUUUAAUUUAUUAUUUUUUUAAUGUUUAUUUAUUUUUGAGACAGAGAGAGACAGAGCAUGAACGGGGGAGGGUCAGAGAGAGAGGGAGACACAGAAUCGGAAGCAGGCUCCAGGCUCUGAGCGGUCAGCACAGAGCCCGACGCGGGGCUCGAACUCACGGACCGCGGGAUCAUGACCUGAGCCGAAGUCGGACGCUUAACCGACUGAGCCACCCAGGCGCCCCAGGGCCGUGGUUUAUCACAGCAAAGGGAUACAGGCGAACGUAACACAAGGAGAAGGCCACAGGGCAGAGUCCAGACAGAGCUCCCAGCUGUCUGUGGACACCAGUCCUCCCUGGCAUCCACGUGUCCUCACCAGAGCCCAGACUGGGCCACUGGGCCCCUGGGCCACGUGUGCUUUGGUGUUGGCCUCUGGCAAGCUGGGCAGGGAUGGUCGGGUUGGGGAGUGUUUUCCUUCCUUUAGAUGCCACAGAAGCUCAGGCUUUGCCCAGGUACUGUUAGCAGGCAAGUAGAACAUGGGGACAGAGGUAAAAUGACCUCUGCCGGCAGGAAUGCCCUUCCAUGUGGCCCGCCCAUUCCGUUCUUUCCAUCUUCUCCAUCUGUCCCACUUGUCUCAUCCCUCCUGAUGAUGUUUUGGGGUGAUGGGUUCAUAGGGUCUGGGGCCAACAGCCAAGAAGGAAUUCUUGAAGAUAUCUUUGAUGCAAAAAGGUCAUUUUAUUAAAGUAUGUGGACAGGACCCAUGGCGGGAAGAGCUGCUCUGGGGUCGUGACAGGUAGCUCAUUCUUUACCCGUAGGUUGGGAGGGGUCAGGGAUAGAGUAAGUCUCUAAGGAAUUUUGGAAACAAGGUUUCUGGGACCUUGAGGGGUUAGCUGUUGCUAGGGAGACACCAUUGAUUACCAUUUAGUAAAACCUCGGUCACGAGACCCCCCCCCAGAUGUGUAUCGGGGGGCCGUAAGUUUGGAUUAUGAUUGCCAGCAUGUAUCUUGGGGCAGUUGAGAUAAAGGAAGUAGACUUACAGGAACCUUGAGGUUGGGAUAAUGUUAAGCUAAGGUUCUCUUUUGGCCCCAGCAAAGUGUCAUCAUCGAGGCAGCUGAGCUCCUAGAGGGAGGUCAUUCUGCCGGUCUCAAGGACUUGUCAAUGGGCUGUAGGCAGUAAGGAAAUUUAAUUUUUCAUUUGCUGCGGUUUCCCACAUCACCAUGGCAAGCACUUAAGCCCCUUUCCUUUGUUCUUGGGCAACCAGGAGUGUCCGAGGAAUAUCACACAUAUUCCACCGGGGAGGGGGGUGGGGGUGAUGCCAGCCUGUAUUUGCCCUCGCCGUGCCCCAAGCUCCCUCAUCGCUUCCAUCCGCCCCACCUGCCUCACUGGCCCCAUCGACCUCACCCCUUCCGUCUACCCCAUCCGCUCCACCUCACAUGGACCAGCCAGAGUGUGUGCAGGUGCACCUCUUUAUGGUUCGAGAAGCCUGCCUCCACUGUGAUGACUUCCCCGGUGGUCACAGCUCCUGCUUUGGGCAAAGGCCAGUAGAUGCUUGGAAGGGUCUUGACCAACCUGAAGAGACUGGCAGAUAAAUUGCUUGCCUUUUCUCUAGAAGGUCUAGAGAGGCAGUGGUUCCCUAAAGAUUCCCUGAAGAUAACUCAGUGAGCCAUCAUCUUGCUGUUUCCUUUAUAAUCUGUGGCAAGCCAAAAAGAAAAACAAAAACAAAAAACCCACCAACAGCAAAACCAAAGGGCAUCACUCUGUAUUUAUUCCCCUUUCUUCCCACUGACACUCCUGCUCCUGCCUCUUACUCCUUCCCUGGGAUUGCAGCCCUCACCCCAUUCCCAGUGCACUUGUCUCUGGCUCAGUUUUCUGAAAGACACCAUAUCACCUCAUGCAGAGGCCUAGCCAUGCUGAGACAGAACUGAAUGUUUGCCCUGUUAGAAAAAAACGUGAAACAUUAAGAUAGAAAAACAAAAAAAUUAUUGUUGUUCCCCCUCUAGGUUUUGUGAUUCAGUUUGGGCCUGUGCCUUUUAUUGCCUUGAGCUGUUUUAUAGCUUUUAAACUGUAGGAAACUUAUAAUAAUGCAACUAAUUAUUGCCCAUAGAAAUGCAACUAAAUUUUGUCCUUUGGAAUGCAAUUGCCCUGUUGAUACUGACCUCUAUUUGUAGAUUUAUUUCAGCAUUUCUGAUUGCCUGUAAACAAAUGUGUCUGAACUCUGCCUUGAACUGGUUGUAAUAUCUUACGUGUUCCUCACAAGUUAAACAAAGUAUGUGCCGUGUUGCCGUGUGGCUUUUUGUUUUUGUUUUUUGUUUUUUUUUUAUUUGCGUAGGACUCCUGACUUUGAAAACAAACGUCCUUUACAGCCCCCACCCCCAGCCUUUGCCUGGAGUCUGUCUGGAGCAGGUUUGGAAGGGCUUCCCUUACGUGUCUUUCAGCCAGAACACAGCACAGUGCAAAGUGUCACUCGUCUUCCUACUUGUUCACCGUAAACGGUGGCCGAACACGCCACCCCAAGACGGCCACCCCACUUUGGCAUAAGAUGAUUUGAGCAAAAGGCACUUGAAAAACAGCAGGUACAAGAAGAACGUCCGUAUCUCCCGCUUUCUUCCUGAGAGCAGGACACAGACCAGGGUGAAGUUGCUGUCCCUGCACCAGGGGGAAGGAAGUGGUCUUGCCAAGGGGACAGGAGCCCAGGACGGGAGAAUUCUUGCUGAAAUAACUCCUACCCAGGUAUUUUGGAUACUUUCCCACUGUCCCUUUCUGUUCACACUAGCAUGAAACCUCUCGUUUUUGCCAAUCCUGGGUCUUCGUUCUCCUUAUGAGGGCUCCCUCCCAUGUGAUGAAAAACUUAUGUAAAAUAAACUUGUGUGUCUUUCUCCUGCUAAGUCUCAGGCCCAGGCCAGAGACCCCAAGAGGGUUGAGAGAAUGGCAUUCCUCCCUCCACCAGACGGAGUGCCUCCAGCGCAGGACCCUGUCUGUCUUGCUUCCCUCCCACUGACUCCUCAGUCCCAGAGCCCCUCGGGCAGGAAGUGAGGACUGUCUGCCGAGUAAAUGAUCUGUGUCCACAGCACCCACCCAUCUCCUUCCCGCCUCAGCCCAUUCACACUCAGACCAGCAUCAGCAUAAGGGAGGACAGUGGUUUGCUUACAUGCAUCCUUUAGGAAGACACGUGCCCUUACAGGGCUUGAGCAGCUGACAAAACAAGGACUUCUCUGUGUAUACACUGGCACAUACUAAUGCUCCACAUUCCCAGUGGAGCUCCAGGAGCUAAAAAUAACCACGCGUGUUCUGUUUUAUACAGAAAAGAGGAAAUGUGCAGCUUAGUUUGUAACAUUUACUAUUUUUGAAAACCUGAUUUUUUUCCACAUGUAUUUUUAAAAUGUCUUUGGUGAUGUCCUUGCAGGAAAAUGCACAAUGCAGAUUUCACCAAAGGUCCCUCCAUUCUGUAAUCCACAUCUUCAGGAAACAAUUGCUGGAGACCAGAUACACUUGACCAUGAGAUGGGUUCUCGGGAAGCCGCCCAGAUGCAGAUCACCAGGGGUCAUAGGAGGGCCAAAGGGCCCCGGGACCUCGGAAGCCAGGUCUCUGCCUAGUCUGCCCCCUGUGCAAGGAGGGGCACACGAUCCCAUGACCACAGGCUGACAGUGGGAGCGCGGGCCUCUGUUAUCCUGAGAGAUGAGCGAGAGGUGACCGUCAUGCAGUGUCGCUCUGACCGCCACUGAGCGCGGUCUUUCGUGAAAAGAUGGGAGGGAGGUGUGUGUGCUAUAGGUCUUCAUCUCGUACUGCGUAUUUGCUCCUUAAGUGAGUGUGGGGAGGGUCUCGGUUUCUAAGGCUCCCCUGUAAGAGACGGCAGGCUAUGAUGGUCAUGAGCUGGUGGUGUUCAGUGUUGUUCGCUGCCCUUCCUUCUCACAGGGACGCUGGAAGGUUAAAAAAUAUGUAAAGAACAAAUGAAGUAAAAAGGAAGAGACACAAGUUGCCUACAGCACAGGAAGUUGGGAACGUGGGUGAGUAAUCACAGACCACGGAGGUAUUUCCAUGAGCAAAGAGCACAGGGACUGCGGGUGGGUGUGUGGGUGUGGGUUUGGCAGAAGAGGGUCCCUGCUGGCUCUGGGCACAUCAGAGGGCAGGGCUGCCUGGGCGUCUUCUGGGGGGUUCUUCCCCAAGGCCACCAUGGUGGGCCCUUCCCAUCAGGACCUCUCCUUCCAGAUGCAGGGAGCUGGCUACAUGGCUGGCCACUGCAGACCUGAGCAAAUGUGUCUGGGGUAUAGAGCCAGGGCGGCGGGGGGAGGUGGGAAAUGCAUAGUAUUUUGUAGUAAGGACAAUGGCAACAAGAUGUAUGAAAUGAGCAUGUUUCCAAAGAAAGUCCGUAGUGAUUUGGAAAAUGUGAUAGGGACAAACUGAGGCCUGAUCUCAGUGGUAAGUACCUAGGAAUUAACUUAUCCAGAAAGACAGUGGCUUAAUGUGGAAAAUGCUAUCUCACUGAGGUUAUUAAAACAGUGAGCGAAAGAGACACCAUCACUGGAAGGCAAAGACUGAAUAGCAUAUGCGUUAAUUCUCCUGGGUUUUAAAGAUGUCGUAGGAGUCACGACAAAAUUAUAUCUCGAUCUUUGAAGCCUGCUAAUGUGAUUCAAGCUCACCUGGAGAAGAAGUGAAUGUGAAGAACCACAAGCACUUUAAGAGAAGAGGCCUCUCUUGAGGUCAGAGAUUACUUAUCAGACCUCCAGCUGUAUUCCAAGCUACAGUCAGCCACAAAAGGUAGUGUGGCUGCAGGAGCCCUCAUUUAUAUCAAUGGAAGAUCAUAGAUCACUCUGGAAAGAAUCAGAAUUUAUGCAAUAAUUUUAUGUGUUCAUGUAACAAUCUACUAAAUGUUAAUAGGAUCAUCAUUAAUCAAUGAACAAAAGUUAUUCAGUCAAUCAUAUGGGACCAAGAAAUAAAUUACAUACACUAAAAGUAGAUCUUAGAAUGUACUAAGAAUGUACUUAGAAUGUACUAAAUUCUAGGCAGAUUUGAUUUCAAAAUAAAACCACAAAAGAACAAGAAGACAAAACAGGACUCUAAGUAGAAAACUCUAAGUUUUAUCCACUCUAAGAUGAAAAUGUCAUUUUUAAGAAGAAAAUGUAAGCGAGCACACAAAAAACAGAUUUGAAUUGACAUUGAAAUUAUAAAUUAAGACGGAAAUAAGGAUGAAAAAUUAGGAAGGUAAUUUAAUUAUAAAAAAUUUAUAGGCAUGCUCCCCUAGUAUGUAAGAAUUUCUUAGAAAUGAUUAUCAAAAGGCAAAAGACAUGAAAGACAAACACAAAAAUGAUAACAGUAAACACGGAAAAAUGUUUAGCAUCGUUACUGAUCAAAUCAGACUUAGAUAGGAAAUUGUUACUGACUUCAUUUUUUUUUAAUUUUUUUUUAAAUUUUUUUUUUUAACGUUUAUUUAUUUUUGAGACAGAGAGAGACAGAGCAUGAACGGGGGAGGGUCAGAGAAAGGGAGACACAGAAUCCGAAGCAGGCUCCAGGCUCCAAGCUGUCAGCACAGAGCCUGAGGCGGGGCUCAAACUCACGGACCACAAGAUCGUGACCUGAGCCAAAGUUGGCCGCUCAACCGACUGAGCCACCCAGGCGCCCCACUGACUUUAAGAGGAUUGUAUGCAGUGUUGGUAAUGAGGCCUUUCAAGUUCUUGUGGUGGUAUUGGUGGUAGGAAAAUACAGACUUUCUUCAACCUUAAUUAAUGAAAGAUGUUGACACGGCUCCUCUUUUUCUCCUUCCCUUUCACUGUUCAGUCCCUUCCUAAAGAUUUCAGGGCCAUUCUUUUCAGGGAAUGAACCCAGGGGCAAGGGCAGGAUGAGGCCAGCAUGGUGGGUCAUCACUCAGAGCUUCCUUGGAGGAGGCAGCAUCCACCGGGGAGCCCGCAAGUAGGGGCAACUUGGCACUCUGCACACAGCACCCUGAGAGAUUGGCCUGAGUACCCCUUUCACUAAAAGAAAUGAGGACUUUUUGGGCCGACAGCUCAUUUUGGUGCUGGAGCAGGGAAAGAUGAGCAGGAAACAUCAGACUGUGCGAGACAGGAAAUGCUUCCAGAAUGGUGGCAACACAUCAGACACCACAGAAGCCAGUAUGGAGGGUCCCACCUGCCAACUCUAGGACAAUUGCAGCAUCAGAAUAAGUAAAAUUAGGGACAGAUUGCAUAUACUAGAAACCACACAUUAAACUGAUGUAAAGAAAUGCACAAAUAAGUCCAAAAUUCCAUGAGAAAUGGAACAUUGAAAUAGACUCAAAGUUCCUCCUCUCAAAAUUCUUUUUUUUUUUUUAAGUUUAUUUAUUUUGAGAGAGAGAGGGAGCACGCACGGGGCUGGGGGGGCGCAGAGAGAGGAGAGAGAGAGAAUCCCAAGCAGGCUCCGUACUGUUAGUACAGAGGCCAGCGCAGGGCUCAAACUCACGAACCGUGAAAUCAUGACCUGAGUUGAAAUCAAGAGUCGGAUGGUCAACUGACUGAGCCACCCAGGUGCCCCUCUCUCAAAAUUCUUAUUAACUGCAAAGAAAAUAAGUGGAGAAGACUAGGGGACAUGGGGGUAGUCAGGUGACAGACAGGAACAUCAUCCGUAAGGGGACAAAUUGCCACCUGAUGUGUGAUAGGACAGUUCCUUGUGCAGAUUCCUGCUAGAGGUGCAUCUAAUCAUGACGAGACAUCAGACAAACCCAAAUGGACAGAUGCUCCACAAAAUAACUGACCUGUGUUCUUCAAAUGCACCAAGAUCGUGAGAGUCCAGACGAGACUAAGAGCUUCUCCUGACUGACAAGAAAGAGGGUAAAGAAGCCAGCACACAGCUCUAAGCUGGACCUUCUUUCUCUAAUGGCAGCAUGGGGACAAAUGGCAAAACUUGGAUGGAGCCCAGGAUUAGGUUAGUGCAGUGUAACAGGGAUUAACAAAGCAUCGUGUCCCUUUCCUGGUUUGAUUUUGAUGGUUGUGCCGCCCUGAUGUAGCACAGUGUCCUCGUUUGUGGAAAGAUUUUGGGGGUGAUGGAGCCUUCCAGUCAGCAGCUUAUUUUUAGAGCAGUCAGACAAAAAUCCUUGCACCACAUUUUCAACCUUUGCAUAGGUUUGAGAUUGUCACCUGCACCCGCGUAAACACACGCACACACACAUGCAUGCGUGAGCACACACGAGCACACAAGUGUGUGCGCACAAGCGUGCAUGAGCACACGUGGGCACACGCACACACGUAUGUGUGAGCAUGCACACAUGCACGCACACACGUGCAGCCUUGGAGUAAACAGACGUGCUCUUUGGCCCAGCAGUUCUACUUCAGGAAUCUUUCCUAGGACAGUAGCUAGGGUCCCCACCCAAGCUGCGUGCAGGAAGAGGUUCACUUCAUUCUCGUGACACGGUGGAAACCAGGUGAGUGCCUACUAGCAAGGAGGUGCAUCCUGACGCAAUCAUGUGGUGAAUGUCUGUUUCAUCACUAGGAGCCGUGUUUAUGAAGCAUGUUCGACAACAGUGGAAUCUGUCCACAGCAUGCUGUUCAUGGAGGAGUCUCACUGGACGGACACCUGCACUUCUAGUGGUGGAAUGAAGAUGAGGGAUGUGCACUUCCUGGCCAGAUCGAGGCCCAGGCUCACUGGCCAGGGGUCUUCUGCCACCCUCUGCAGUUCUCCCAGGCAGACCCCAGCACAGAGAUGCAGGUAAGGCUGGAACUAGAGGGAAAGUUGUAGCCUCAGUGCAUAUGUGAGAAUAUAGGGAAAUCUAAUCACUGAUAAGUUGAGCAUUUGUCGUGCAUGAGGAAAGGAGAAGUAAAACUACAGGUGACCCUUGAGUAACAUGGGUUUGAACUGCAUGGGUCACUUAUACAAGGGUUUUUUUUUCCUCAAUAAAUUCUGCACAGUACUUUAAAUGCACUUCUUCUUCCUUAUGAUUUCUUAGUAACAUUUCUUCUCUAGCUUACUUUACUGUAAGAAUACAGCAUGUAAUACGUGUAACAUACAACAUACGCGGUAAUCAACUGUUUAUGUUAUCCGUAAAGCUUCUGGUCAAUUGUAAGGUAUGAGUAGUUAAGUUUCUGAGGCGUCAGAAGUUACACAUGGAUUUCCAACUGUGUGGGGAAUUGGUGCCCCUACCCCCGUGUCGUUCCAGGUCAACUGUGUUCUAUAAUACCCAUACGUAGUGAACCCAGUGCCUGAAAUGGAAAGACUGACAGUACUAAGUAUCAGCACGGGUGUGUAGCUGCCGAGAUUCUGCGGGCCUGCAAGUGGAUGUUUCAGGUCACAGGGCAAUGAGUCAAGAAGCAGAGCUAGGCUGAGUCAAGGCCACAGCCCAGGAACUGUGGGGUUUUGCCCAGGACCUGGGGACAUGCCUGCAUGUCCCCCCGCCCGGGAGACCUGCCCCCAAGGCUACCCUCUGUGGCAGGUGUUAUGCGUCCCACCUGAGAGAGGAGGAUGACUGCUGGGAAUGGCAGAGCCAGACGUCAGCCUGAAGCUAACCUGCAGGAGCCCUUCUGGGACAUAGAAGGCAGGGCCCGAGCAAGGGGGAAAGGAAGGGAGAGCACCCUGGAUCUUCCUGCCUGAGUGACCGUGGAGGAGGCCCUGCGUGGGUGGACUGGCCGGUGCGGCUGUCCUGGAGGGGAGAGGGUGCCAGGGAGGGAGGGAGCAGUCGCGUGGACACCCGGACCUGCCGAGGAGCUGGGGAAAAGAUGUGUGGGGUGGACAUGACACCUGCAUGAGACAGGCUGCUCCUUCCCCGGGCCUGGGACUCACUCCUGCUUCUAAGAGAGAAGGUGCUGGGCCCAGGGUGAAGCUCCCAGAGCCGGAUUCCUGGCCAGGGAGGUGGGGUUUGCCUCCAAAAGGAAAACCGUGUGGCUCUGGGAGCAGAUGCUCCAUGUGAGCCCCCGGGUCGCCCUCUGACUCCCCACCGCACCCCCUCCCCCCGGGCACACAGAUGGGGGGGCUGGUGCCUCUACACUCACGGAUAAGGGGCCUAAUGGGGUCUGGAGUGGAAACCCUUCUGCCAUCAGCUCCGUCACAAGGAGACACAUAUGCACAAACACAGCGUCAUGCGCGCACACACACGCAUACACACAAACACCCAUGCAUAUACAGAAACACACGCCUCUCUUCAGCUUGGGGCCCACAGUCCCCUACUCUGACCUUUACAGUGGAAGGAAACAGAAAAACCACCAAAGUCUGGCAUCCAUGGCAUUUAGCUGAUUGUGAAAACUGCGCACUCACCCCCGGAAGAGAGUUUCUCAUGUUUAUCCUUCGGAUAACAGUGGAUUGAAAUCAAUCCAAUCCCACAUGGAAUUCAUUCUGGAGAAUUUCACGUCUCCCCAGACGUGGGGCCCUGCCCAGGGUGGACGUUUGGCCUGGGAGCCCUUUUGUCCUUCUCCAAGGAUGUUUUUGGAUCUGACUGCCCUUUUCUCCUGUGGGGUUUUCCCUCCUGAAAGAAGAGAGGAAUCGCUGGGUGUGGGACAAGAAGUAGGACCCUUGCUUCCCAACAUACACAGAACCAGCCACACCUGGACCCAUGGCAUAAAUUCGGGGGUGCUCUCAAAAACUUUGCCUGGAAUGUGUCAGUGAGUUAUUCGCGACGUUGGAGUAAGCAUUUCUUAAAUACACUGUGAAGAGCUCUAACUACAAAAUAAGAGACUAAUACUUUGGAAUACAUUAAAAACCCAGUCAAUGAAAAUCACCUUAAAGAAAGUGAGGGGGAAGUUCAAGAUGAGACGCUCACACCAGAAGGAGCGGACACAAAGUGAUAGCCGCACUUGCGUCAGCCUGGGGAGCCACGGUUUACCCCUCUCCUCUCAGCAAUCAGGGCGUUGGGCAGAGAGGGUGUUGCAAGUCCCUGGGCGCAGAGGGACCCUGGGAUCCGCCUCCUCAUGGCUCCCCCCCCAUGUCCUCGACUGCCCUUCCCGGGACCCAAGCCAGCUAGACAGAAGCAGGUGGGUGAGUCAGGCUGUGGGUCUGCGUUGUGGGUGCCUGUGUUCCCAGCCUUCGGGGCGGGUGGGGGCAGGAGGAAGUGGCUCUGAGUCAGAGGUCCUAUGGGGCUCAUUUUCCAAGACACUGACCUCCCUGUGGCCCCAAAAGUAGGCCAGACAGAGAAAGGCGUGGGCUGUGGCUUCUGACUGUCCCGUGAGCAAGUAGACACAGACACAGACAGACACACAGGACAGGGACCUAGAUACCCACAGACACACACACAGAGAUACAUGCAGACCUACACAGACAUACAGGCACAGACACACAGGACGGGGACCUAGAUACCCACAGACAGGCACAG